rnacentral:lncRNA from 1 species
UGAGUGAACCAUGUCAACCACUAUUACGAGUAAUCAUCACUUAUUCGGAAAAAAACACACUCUAGAUUCAAUGAAACAAGAAUUCUAUUAAAAUUUAGGCCCAAAACAGGCAAUUACAAAUAGAUUAAAAACAAAACAAAAGUAGAAGCACUAAAAAUAACAAAUAGCAAACUAAAAUAAAAUGUGAAAUAAAAAAAUACAACUGAUAUCUAAACGUCGUUAUUACCAUCCAUAUCCUGCAUGUCAGCAUCAAAAUAAAUGAAUGUGGA